rnacentral:rRNA from 1 species
GAUGAACGCUGGCGGCGUGCCUAAUACAUGCAAGUCGAGCGAACAGACGAGGAGCUUGCUCCUCUGACGUUAGCGGCGGACGGGUGAGUAACACGUGGAUAACCUACCUAUAAGACUGGGAUAACUUCGGGAAACCGGAGCUAAUACCGGAUAAUAUAUUGAACCGCAUGGUUCAAUAGUGAAAGACGGUUUUGCGGUCACUUAUAGAUGGAUUCGCGCCGCAUUAGCUAGUUGGUAAGGUAACGGCUUACCAAGGCAACGAUGCGUAGCCGACCUGAGAGGGUGAUCGGCCACACUGGAACUGAGACACGGUCCAGACUCCUACGGGAGGCAGCAGUAGGGAAUCUUCCGCAAUGGGCGAAAGCCUGACGGAGCAACGCCGCGUGAGUGAUGAAGGUCUUCGGAUCGUAAAACUCUGUUAUUAGGGAAGAACAAAUGUGUAAGUAACUAUGCACGUCUUGACGGUACCUAAUCAGAAAGCCACGGCUAACUACGUGCCAGCAGCCGCCGUAA